AACCGCACAGGAUACUCUAUUAUCCCGUGCGGCCGGGUUACGUGGACUGCACGGGAUAAUCGAUUAUCCCGUGCGAUC
rnacentral:pre_miRNA from 17 species